rnacentral:rRNA from 1 species
AUACGUAGGGGGCAAGCGUUGUCCGGAAUUAUUGGGCGUAAAGCGCGCGCAGGCGGUCAAUUAAGUUGGGUGUUUAAGCCCGGGGCUCAACCCCGGUUCGCAUCCAAAACUGGUUGACUUGAGUGUAGGAGAGGAAAGUGGAAUUCCACGUGUAGCGGUGAAAUGCGUAGAGAUGUGGAGGAACACCAGUGGCGAAGGCGACUUUCUGGCCUAUAACUGACGCUGAGGCGCGAAAGCGUGGGGAGCAAACAGGAUUAGAUACCCUGGUAGUCCACGCCGUAAACGAUGCAUACUAGGUGUCGGGGAUUCGAUUCCUCGGUGCCGAAGUUAACACAGUAAGUAUGCCGCCUGGGGAGUACGCUCGCAAGAGUGAA